UGAACGCUGGCGGCAUGCCUUACACAUGCAAGUCGAACGGCAGCACGGGUGCUUGCACCUGGUGGCGAGUGGCGAACGGGUGAGUAAUACAUCGGAACAUGUCCUGUAGUGGGGGAUAGCCCGGCGAAAGCCGGAUUAAUACCGCAUACGAUCUACGGAUGAAAGCGGGGGACCUUCGGGCCUCGCGCUAUAGGGUUGGCCGAUGGCUGAUUAGCUAGUUGGUGGGGUAAAGGCCUACCAAGGCGACGAUCAGUAGCUGGUCUGAGAGGACGACCAGCCACACUGGGACUGAGACACGGCCCAGACUCCUACGGGAGGCAGCAGUGGGGAAUUUUGGACAAUGGGCGAAAGCCUGAUCCAGCAAUGCCGCGUGUGUGAAGAAGGCCUUCGGGUUGUAAAGCACUUUUGUCCGGAAAGAAAUCCUUGGCUCUAAUACAGUCGGGGGAUGACGGUACCGGAAGAAUAAGCACCGGCUAACUACGUGCCAGCAGCCGCGGUAAUACGUAGGGUGCGAGCGUUAAUCGGAAUUACUGGGCGUAAAGCGUGCGCAGGCGGUUUGCUAAGACCGAUGUGAAAUCCCCGGGCUCAACCUGGGAACUGCAUUGGUGACUGGCAGGCUAGAGUAUGGCAGAGGGGGGUAGAAUUCCACGUGUAGCAGUGAAAUGCGUAGAGAUGUGGAGGAAUACCGAUGGCGAAGGCAGCUCCCUGGGCCAAUACUGACGCUCAUGCACGAAAGCGUGGGGAGCAAACAGGAUUAGAUACCCUGGUAGUCCACGCCCUAAACGAUGUCAACUAGUUGUUGGGGAUUCAUUUCCUUAGUAACGUAGCUAACGCGUGAAGUUGACCGCCUGGGGAGUACGGUCGCAAGAUUAAAACUCAAAGGAAUUGACGGGGACCCGCACAAGCGGUGGAUGAUGUGGAUUAAUUCGAUGCAACGCGAAAAACCUUACCUACCCUUGACAUGGUCGGAAUCCUGCUGAGAGGCGGGAGUGCUCGAAAGAGAACCGGCGCACAGGUGCUGCAUGGCUGUCGUCAGCUCGUGUCGUGAGAUGUUGGGUUAAGUCCCGCAACGAGCGCAACCCUUGUCCUUAGUUGCUACGCAAGAGCACUCUAAGGAGACUGCCGGUGACAAACCGGAGGAAGGUGGGGAUGACGUCAAGUCCUCAUGGCCCUUAUGGGUAGGGCUUCACACGUCAUACAAUGGUCGGAACAGAGGGUUGCCAACCCGCGAGGGGGAGCUAAUCCCAGAAAACCGAUCGUAGUCCGGAUUGCACUCUGCAACUCGAGUGCAUGAAGCUGGAAUCGCUAGUAAUCGCGGAUCAGCAUGCCACGGUGAAUACGUUCCCGGGUCUUGUACACACCGC
rnacentral:rRNA from 1 species